GUCUUUAAGUAUUUAAUUUAAAGUCAAAUNUGCCCAAUGAACUUUUUAAAUGGCUGCAAAAUUUUAUUGUACUAAGGUAGCAUAAUAAUUUGUUUUUUAAUUAAAAACUAGAAUGAAAGAUUUAAUGAAAUAUAAACUUUUUCAAUUAAAUUUAUAUUAAAAUUUUUAUUUAAAUAAAAAAAUUUAAAUAAAAUUUAAAGACGAUAAGACCCUAUAGAAUUUUAUUUAUUUAAAUAUUAUAAUUAAAAUUUAAAUAAAUUUUAUUGGGGUAAUAAAAAAAUAAAAUAAAUUUUUUUUUUAUAAAACAAUUUUUUUGAACAAAAAAUCUUAAAAUUUAAAUUAAAAAAAUCAAUUACCUUAGGGAUAACAGCAUAAUUUUUUUUAAAAGAUCAUAUUUAUAAAA
rnacentral:rRNA from 1 species